UCAUCAGAUUUGGCUCAAGAAGGGAAUAACAUAAUCAGUCAGGUUUGGUCAGCACACAAGCUUCCAUUGCAAAGAAAGCCGUAGUGCAUCUGAGCCCUCCAUGGACCACUAUCUUCAAAGGGGAGAAAGUGAC